UACAGGGGGGGCAAGCGUUGUUCGGAAUUACUGGGCGUAAAGGGUCUGUAGGUGGCCAACUAAGUCAGACGUGAAAUCCCUCAGCUUAACUGGGGAACUGCGUCUGAUACUGGAUGGCUUGAGUGUGGGAGAGGAAUGCGGAAUUCCAGGUGUAGCGGUGAAAUGCGUAGAGAUGUGGAGGAACACCGAUGGCGAAGGCAGCCUUCUGGGCCAACACUGACGCUCAUGCACGAAAGCGUGGGGAGCAAACAGG
rnacentral:rRNA from 1 species